ACCGAGGGUCACCGAGGUUUGAAAGCAUAACCAUAGUUUAAACCUCAUGGCCCUGAAUCUGCAUAUCAAAUAUCCAAUUUUGGUUUGAAGCUGUACAUUUUCGCAAAACAAGAGACACUUAUGGCUAACAGUUUUCGACAUCAAAGUGGAAAUACGAGUAGUUUGUUGGCGAAUGUUUAGGUAUGUGUUAGGCAUCUUUUUUCAAAC